rnacentral:lncRNA from 1 species
GAGCCGUCAAUUGGCUUGGUGUAUCUUCCUCCCUUCCGCUUGUCAUGAUCGUCCAGCUAAAAUUUGGGGGCCAACAGAGGUGAGGCAAAGAACCUCACCCCCCCGCUGGUACAAAGACCUCUCCACAGGUGUGGCUGUAUACUGGACCAGUAGUCAGUGACGGGUAAGAUCCAAUUGCAAUGGUACCAACCUAAGGACCAUAUGUACUAUUGGACAACCUAAGGCAGGCACGGUCCCUAAGCCACAUGCUUGUUGUUUAAACAGAGAGGGGGAGAUGUUGAGAGCCACAGCCUAAGGGGC